rnacentral:tmRNA from 1 species
GGGGGCGACCGGUUUUGACAGCUUGCAGAGUCUGAUCGUAAGCACGUCGAGCUUUGUGUGGUGGCUCGUAAAUCUCAACACUCGAACUACAAAUGGCAAUAACAGCUAUGCACUCGCUGCCUAAUUUUCAAGGAAAAUCGGGCUUAAUCAUCUGAUCCAAGGAGACCGGAUGACGAGUAUCCCGAACGGGGGCCCGCCCUUGGCAACCGUUCAUACGGGGUAUCAUCAAUUAGGGGAUAGUGCGACGGAAGUCUCGGCCGCCGUGCGAAAUUAAAGAGACUGCGGCAAGGGUCAGGCCGUCUGCGGCCAUCCCGCGCAAGAGGAUCAAUCGCAGAAUAAACGUGUAGAAAGCCUUCGGGUUCCUUGUUUGGACGCGGGUUCGACUCCCGCCGCCUCCACAA